UACGGAGGAUGCGAGCGUUAUCCGGAUUUAUUGGGUUUAAAGGGCGCGCAGGCGGAAGAUCAAGUCAGCGGUAAAAUUGAGAGGCUCAACCUCUUCGAGCCGUUGAAACUGGUUUUCUAGAGUGAGCGAGAAGUAUGCGGAAUGCGUGGUGUAGCGGUGAAAUGCAUAGAUAUCACGCAGAACUCCGAUUGCGAAGGCAGCAUACCGGCGCUCAACUGACGCUCAGGCACGAAAGCGUGGGUAUCGAACAGG
rnacentral:misc_RNA from 1 species